CCUACGGGGAGCAGCAGUGAGGAAUAUUGGUCAAUGGACGAGAGUCUGAACCAGCCAAGUAGCGUGAAGGAUGACUGCCCUAUGGGUUGUAAACUUCUUUUAUAUGGGAAUAAAAUGUUCCACGUGUGGGAUUUUGUAUGUACCAUAUGAAUAAGGAUCGGCUAACUCCGUGCCAGCAGCCGCGGUAAUACGGAGGAUCCGAGCGUUAUCCGGAUUUAUUGGGUUUAAAGGGAGCGUAGGUGGAUUGUUAAGUCAGUUGUGAAAGUUUGCGGCUCAACCGUAAAAUUGCAGUUGAAACUGGCAGUCUUGAGUACAGUAGAGGUGGGCGGAAUGCGUGGUGUAGCGGUGAAAUGCUUAGAUAUCACGAAGAACUCCGAUGGCGAAGGCAGUUCACUGGACUGCAACUGACACUGAGGCUCGAAAGUGUGGGUAUCAAACAGGAUUAGAUACCCGAGUAGUC
rnacentral:rRNA from 1 species